GAUGAACGCUGGCGGCGUGCCUAAUACAUGCAAGUCGAGCGAACGGACGAGAAGCUUGCUUCUCUGAUGUUAGCGGCGGACGGGUGAGUAACACGUGGAUAACCUACCUAUAAGACUGGGAUAACUUCGGGAAACCGGAGCUAAUACCGGAUGAUAUUUUGAACCGCAUGGUUCAAAAGUGAAAGACGGUCUUGCUGUCACUUAUAGAUGGAUCCGCGCUGCAUUAGCUAGUUGGUAAGGUAACGGCUUACCAAGGCAACGAUGCAUAGCCGACCUGAGAGGGUGAUCGGCCACACUGGAACUGAGACACGGUCCAGACUCCUACGGGAGGCAGCAGUAGGGAAUCUUCCGCAAUGGGCGAAAGCCUGACGGAGCAACGCCGCGUGAGUGGUGAAGGUCUUCGAAUCGUAAAACUCUGUUAUUAGGGAAGAACAUAUGUGUAAGUAACUGUGCACAUCUUGACGGUACCUAAUCAGAAAGCCACGGCUAACUACGUG
rnacentral:rRNA from 1 species